rnacentral:sRNA from 1 species
CUGCCACACCUUCUUUUUUUGUUUUCCUUUUGGAACAUAGGAAAUACAUUUUUUUAAUACCUGUCUUGGUUUCUUUUGUGCUGCGAUAGCAGAAUACCUGAGACUGAGUAACUUAUUCAGAGUAGAAUUUUAUUUUCUGAAGUUCUGGAGUCUGGGAAGUUCGAGAUCAAGGUGCUGGCAGGGUUGGUUGUCUGGUGGGGGCUGCAUUUUCUGGGGGGUAGGCAUGCUGUGUUCUCAUAUGGCAGGAGGAAGGGUAAGGGGGGAUGAACUGCCUCCUGCAGGCCUUUUCUAAGGGCACCUAAUCCAUUCAGGAAGGUGGAACCUCAUGGCCUAAUCACCUCUUAAAAACCCCACCUCUUAAUACUAUCACAGUGGCAGCACCUGAAUUUUGGAGGGGACAUAUUCAAACCAUAGCAACCACCUUUGUCUUGAGUUUCAAGUGUCCAACAUACAAUUAGUCUGGCCUUUUAAAAAUCCACUUACCUAAUCCAUUUUGAUUGGUUAUCAACUUGAGUGUUUUUGUAAUAAGUUUUAUUUCUAAGUUUAUUUUUGUAUCCCCUUUUUCCUACAACAUUGACUCUUCCUUUCUUGUACCUUCUGAUAAUCAGAAAUGUAUACCUUUUUCAAAAUACAAAUGAUUCAGUGUUUAAAUACUUCUCUAGUCACAGUUCUUUCCAUGUCUCCCAUCUGUUUACUUAUUUUCACUAAUUCAGCCCAAAAAUGUUUAUUGAACAAAUACCAUGUUCAGGUACUCUCUCUGGGUUACAGACUCAGGAUGCAAAUAAUAAUACAACUUAUAAUAUGUAUAAGGAUGUAUCAGUAUGCAAAUUAUAAAAUAAUAAUACAACUACAGGCUCAUGUAGACAUCAGGCUUUAUAAACAAAACCAGAUGGAAUUUGCUUUAUUUUUACCCUUUUCUUCCCAUCUUUAUAUAAUCAAUAGUAAUUUUUAACAUUCUAUAACUUUUUGUAUCAUUUUAAUGGCAUAUGUAAUUUAUUGCUUAUUUCAGCCUCACAGAUUCUUGGCACUUCCUCUGUCAUUCUACUAAUAUUAAUAAAUAUUUUAUUUUCCCAUUUCAGUGUUAAGAGAAAUGAAGUGUUCUCUGCAACUAGCAAACUCCCUUACUCCUUUAGAAAAAUCACAGUGCUAUAAAUGUCAGACAGGCAUUUCUCUGGUCACUCUUGUUUUCCCUUAGAUGUGAAAGCUUCCUAGGGUCUGGAUUCCACCAGAGGUAAACCUCUAGUGACUCCUGGUUUAGCCAGGAGGAAAGAAGUCUGUGUGCCAGUUUUAGGGAACAGCUUGUAUAUGACAGCUCUCAGAACUUCAAGUCUCAUGAAAUUCCAAAACAGGUUUAGAUGGUUGCCAACUCUUUGGAAUGUUAAAGACAUUGAGGGUGGGGCAGUGAUCUUUUGAUACUACCAUGAUUUCUUAUAAAGAAGAUUGUAGUAGUCAUACAAUCUCAGACUACAGAAGGUUUUUCUCUAGUAAGGAACCACCUCACACUGACACACAUACACAUAUUCACUGUGUCUGUCCUAGUUUCUCUCAUUUUUCUGAGGACCAAUGAUAAGCUGGCUCCGUACUGAACAGACACUGUCCAUAGGCUGGUGUGUGGGGAGCUCUGCUUGGGUCCUGAAGCCUUCUCUUUCCUAGUGUGGCCUUUACAAGGUCUGGAGCUCUUUCUCCCAUUUGUGAUUUUCCUGGGUGUCACAGUUACUCCAAGCUGGCUUCCUUUCCUAAAAGUCAAGAGUGGCUUCAGACCACUCUCCAGAUUGGUCAUGUGGUGUGCAUGCUCAUUGAAUUCACAUCAGUAGUAACCCAGAUAGCACACAAUUUAGGAAAGUCAGUCUCUUGGUCAACUAGCACAGUAAUUAAUUUAAAGGCACACAAAUAACUUUGGGAGUCCAUCUGCUACUGCUGUCAUUUAUUGGAAUGGCUCAUAAUUUGGCUGUCUCUCUUUAUUCCAUCCUGUUGAACAAUUCUGACUGUACACAUUCUCUUUCAGCGGUCUUGCGAGUGGCUGGUUCCCUGCAAAAGAGCACAGAAGUGAUGAAGGCCAUGCAAAGUCUUGUGAAGAUUCCAGAGAUUCAGGCCACCAUGAGGGAGUUGUCCAAAGAAAUGAUGAAGGCUGGGAUCAUAGAGGAGAUGUUAGAGGACACUUUUGAAAGCAUGGACGAUCAGGAAGAAAUGGAGGAAGAAGCAGAAAUGGAAAUUGACAGAAUUCUGUUUGAAAUUACAGCAGGUAUGACUGUGAGAUCCAUCCUUUCUCCUCUCUUUUUAUGGCCAUUCAUUAACUCCCUUCUACAUUUUUAACGUUUUACAGUGUGCAGCUUAUUUCUUGAAAAGUAAGCACAGUAUGUAUAACCAUCUUUUAAAAAACACAAAUAAUUCUUAAAAAUUUUUAGAGUUUUCAUGAUUUUAAAGGAAGAUACUGCUCUCAUAUACUGCUGUUGGGAUUUUAAACUGGUGUAGACUUUCUUGAAAGCAAUUUGGCCAUAGCCAUUCAAAAGCCCUUGCCUUCGCCAAGUGUGAUGGCUCAUGCCUGUUAUCCCAGCACUUUGGGAGGCUCAGGUGGGGGAUUGCUUGAGCCCAGGAGUUUGAGACCAGCCUGGGCAACCAUAGCAAGACCCCAUCUC